CAGAGAUUGCUAGGAUGUACACCUGGGAGGAGAACUGAGGACCUCAGUCCGAGACGAUGUCAAUUGGGAUGCCGUGAAGUUUGAAUACGUGAAGGACAAGAAGACAUGAGUGGCGGACAGUCUUUCAAGAUGUUUUCUCCGGGAUGCUGGUCUACCUCCACCGCCCCCACAGGUAGCCAGAGUGGGGGGAUCCAGGCGGGCGCCAGCUGGCACCACCUCAGCACCCACGCAACAUGGGUAAAACCCCAGCGACACCAUCAGCGCCUCCAGCAGAAGAGUCUCCGAGUGAACCUAAAGCCUCUCCUCCGCCACCAUCGCAAGCCUCUUCGCCUCUCUCAGAAGGCAAUGUUGAUGAAUGUUAAUUACUGUAUAAG